AAUGAACGUUGGCGGCGUGGAUUAGGCAUGCAAGUCGAGCGGGAAGGCCCCGCAAGGGGCACUCGAGCGGCGAAAGGGAUAGUAACGCGUGGACAACCUGCCCUGGGGACGGGGAUAGCUGGGGGAAACUCCAAUUAAUACCCGAUGACGUCUCCGGACCAAAGGUGUGAUUCCGCCCUGGGAGGGGUCCGCGUCCUAUCAGCUAGUUGGUGAGGUAACGGCUAACCAAGGCAACGACGGGUAGCGGGUGUGAGCGCACGACCCGCAUCACUGGGACUGAGACACUGCCCAGACACCUACGGGUGGCUGCAGUCGAGAAUCUUCGUCAAUGGGCGAAAGCCUGAACGAGCGACGCCGCGUGCGGGAUGAAGGCCUUCGGGUUGUAAACCGCUGUCAGUGGGGAGGAAAUGCCGGAGGGAUCACCCUCCGGUUUGACCGACCCGCAGAGGAAGGACGGGCUAAGUUCGUGCCAGCAGCCGCAGUAAUAC
rnacentral:rRNA from 1 species